UCUACAGAGGACCAUGUUUUUCAUGAUCAUUCUUAUAUAUCUAUUGUUGAUUCAUGCCCAGACACAGAUGUUCCUGAGUAUGAGGAGGAGGAGGAGGACACAGAUGACUAUACAUGCAGUUCAUCAGAGAGUGACGAAGAAGAACCUGAGAGAAAUGGUGGAAAUGUCUUUCCCUUGCAAGGGCGGCACAUCAUAGACAUUAAUUUUUUAAUCCAAGAGCUGGGUAAAGGGUGCCAUUCUUGCAGAGAACCUUUACAGUUGUCCUCUUGCAUAGGAGAUACCCGAUAUAGACUAGGUAUUAUUAAAAUACAAGAAAACACUAAUAAGUCUAUGAUAACAUUGUAUAAAUAUAUAUUAUAAGUUGUAUCAUAUUGUUUUCAACACCACACAUGCUUGUAAGUAAUCAAAAUAAGUAAUAUUUUAAACUGAUAAAAUAU